rnacentral:lncRNA from 1 species
AUGUGUUCACCUGAAGAAACAGCGACAUCCCCCUUGCCUGAUGUGCCUGUGGUGCAGCACAGAGGACGCAGGCUGCAAGGAAGGCGUUCUCCUCGCUUUGCAGUUUCAGGUCACUGUGGAAAGCACACAGCACCUGCCUCGAGGGAUCACUCCAGACUUUGUUCCUCGGUGCUUCCCAGCGGCACCAGCCGUGAGGGACACGGCUGCUGUCAGCAUCGCUGCUCCCAUGGGGAAGAGUUCACUGGAGGCGGCUGUCCCCGGGGAGCUGCAGCCGCUGGUGCUGCAGCUGCACGCGAACGGGGCUCCAGUAGCAAGCAGGCAUUUGUGAGUCAGUGAGAGUGUCAGAGGCAGGGAGCAGGUAGAUCGCAAGAAAAUAGGAGCUGCAGAGCUUUAAGGACRGACAGGAGAGGAUGAACAGCGUUUGGGUGAAUUUAGCUUGUGCCCGUACUGCUGAGCAGCUGCCUUAGCAGCUUGAGUUUUAACCUGCCUCUACUCCUUGGGCAGUUAUUGGAGGGUUACACACCACCAAUUUUAGGUAAGAAAUGUUGGUGUGUGAAGAGGAAUUCAGUUAUGGACAGCAGCCAGCGGUGACUUGAGCGCGGUGAGGAUAAGGCCGGUUUUAAAGCCAUACUGCCUGGGAUUGUAUCCCUGCAUGGCAGCUCUGCCUUUCCACCUCCCUGAGCCCUUCAUAGCCCUGCCAAAGCCAUAGGGCACAGCCUUAGGGGCAGAGCUGCUUUCUUCUACAUGCAGCAGCUUGGACACAAMCUAUUUCUUGGGGUGCAGCCCCAGCUGGGGCGAUGCCACGCUCAUGUCAGCCCUGAGGCCGAGGAGGCUGCUUUCUUGAUCAAACCCAGCAUUUUGCACUCACUUCUAGGCUACCRAAGGAUCUGUAGGAAGCGGGAGUGUGCACCGGCCCACACUACCAGCACAGCACAGCCGACACGUUAGUCUGCAGAGGUCAAAUAUGACACGAGCCAGGACAGAUGCCUGUCACUUGUUGCUGGAAGCAGCCUACAGAUCCCAGRAAAGGCCUUGAUGGCUCUGGAGACGAAGGACGUGUUUCUGAUUAGCUCAGGUCCCCCGUGCUACCAGCAGUAAGGGCAAKGCCGGGGCUCAUGCUUCUCCCCCUGAGGACGCACAUCCUCAAGUCAUCAUAAAAUAAUGAAAAAGCCAGUGACAGAUUUCRAUAAAAUGCAGUGUAGCAGUUCCUUCACGUAGUGUUUUAAAUUUGGGCGUUGAUAAUGAAGGACGUGGUAAAAAUCUGUGUUUAGAUUUAYAUUAUACUUAGACCUCCACCAGGCUGCCAUUCUCUGAGAAAUACCGGAGUUGGAGUAAA